AACUGAUACUACCUGCGGGAACCUGCGGAAGGAUCAUUAUUGAAUAAACUUGGUUGGGUUGUUGCUGGCUCCUUGGAGCAUGUGCACGCCUAGCACCAAUUUUUACCACCUGUGCACCAUUUGUGGACCUGGAUACCUCUCGAGGAAACUCGGUUGGAGGACUGCUGUGUGAAAGCCAGCUUUCCUUACAUUUCCGGUUCAUCUUUUCACAUACCCCAUACGAAUGUAUCAGACUGUUGU
rnacentral:misc_RNA from 1 species